rnacentral:rRNA from 1 species
GAUGGACGCUGGCGGCGUGCCUAAUACAUGCAAGUCGAGCGAACAGACGAGGAGCUUGCUCCUCUGACGUUAGCGGCGGACGGGUGAGUAACACGUGGAUAACCUACCUAUAAGACUGGGAUAACUUCGGGAAACCGGAGCUAAUACCGGAUAAUAUAUUGAACCGCAUGGUUCAAUAGUGAAAGACGGUUUUGCUGUCACUUAUAGAUGGAUCCGCGCCGCAUUAGCUAGUUGGUAAGGUAACGGCUUACCAAGGCAACGAUGCGUAGCCGACCUGAGAGGGUGAUAGGCCACACGGGAACUGAGACACGGUCCAGACUCCUACGGGAGGCAGCAGUAGGGAAUCUUCCGCAAUGGGCGAAAGCCUGACGGAGCAACGCCGCGUGAGUGAUGAAGGUCUUCGGAUCGUAAAACUCUGUUAUUAGGGAAGAACAAAUGUGUAAGUAACUAUGCACGUCUUGACGGUACCUAAUCAGAAAGCCACGGCUAACUACGUG